AGGCAGGAAAUCAACUCCUUUUUUCCCUUAUUAAUUUAAUUAUUGCCUCCAAUCCUCUUGACAUCAUAUCAUUUUAUUUUAUUUCAUAUAUAUAUGGCUCAGAAUAUCAAGUCAAACAGUGAAACUGAGUGGAGUUAAACUCAUUUGCAUCACAUUUGUGAUUGUGUUCCUCUGAGAAUUGAGCAGAUCUCGUUUCAUCAUGUAUCUGCAGGUGUUUUCAUGCUCCAUUGAGUGAAGUUUAUUUAUAAAAUAUGAGCUAAAGCCCUGAUCCAAUGAAAGAGCCGAAACAAAAAUGACACAAAAAAGGACAUAAUGUUACAAUUAUGUUUUAUUGACUGAAUUGUAAUAAAAUCAAGACUGAAAAAGCACACAUAUAGUCAGCAGAUCUACUCUGAACACUGCUGUCUCCUCACAGUGUCUCCAGUGGACGCAGACUGGCCGCUCCGUGUGGCCUCACAGCUCACCGAGACGCUCUUCAUCCACUCCUCCUCAGAGAGAGUCAGGCUGCUGCUCCAGCUGUACAGACCGUCCUUCUCCAGGAGCCCAGCGCUGCUCUCCUGAGACCUGCUGCUCCCGUCCACCUUCAGCUCAGGCUCCAGUCUGACGGGAAGCCCUUGUUGGCCACACACACCAGUGUCGCUGUGUUCAGAGAGAACUCAUCAUCACUAGAUGUUCACUUCAGUAAUUGUAUUUUGUUUCUGUUAAUGAGUGACUGUCUUCAGGUAAAUGAUCUGGAGUGUGUUUGCAUAUUGAUCAGAUGCUUCAGUGCUCUGAGAGUGUUUAUAGUGCUGUGAGUUUCACUUGACACACACAACAAUCUUCAUCAACAUGACCUUCAUCAUCAUCUGGACGCUCUUAUACUGCUUUAUACUACAAGGCUGUAGAGCUCAGAUCACAGUGACUCAGACUCCUGCAGUGAAAACUGUUAAACCAGGAGAAACUGUUGAGAUGAGCUGUAAACUCAGUAGAAGUGCUGCUGGCUGCAGCUCAGCAUACUGUGUGUCCUGGUACUUACAGAAACCUGGAGAAGCUCCUAAACUCCUGAUUUAUUGGACCAACACCCUCCAGUCAGGAACUCCAUCUAGAUUCAGUGGCAGUGGAUCUAACAGUGAUUUCACUCUGACCAUCAGUGGAGUCCAGACUGAAGAUGCUGGACAUUAUUACUGUCAGAGUUUACACAGUGGUUAUGUGUUCACACAGUGA